rnacentral:lncRNA from 1 species
ACUAGUACUAUAGUUAAGCUGGAAUCCAACUCCUGAAUUUCUGGAGCCCUGAAGACCACUUAGUCUUACUCACAAGUAUAGAAUUGAAUGGAAUGUGAAUCUACACUCAGGUGAAGCCAGGGUAUUUUGAACGUCCCUACAAGACUGAAGCACCACUGGGAAAUAAGUAAUAGAGAUGCCAUCAUUGUGGAGGUCAUAAUGCUUGUCCUGAACACGAGGGGUCUCUAGUGGAGGCACCAAUUCAGCUCCUCUUCUGUGGAGAGACUACAUGGGUGCUGAAGAAACAAAGACACAACGCAGCUCCUCUCAAAGGAGUUCAGAGCUUAGCAGGGGAGACAGAACCAUGAAUGCAUAGUUACGCAUCAAUGUGCUGCACGAGCACUGAAGCCCAAGCACAAGCGGCCUGAGUCCCAGUGAGUCUAACCCCUCCCCAUCCUGCCCUCCCACACCACAACCCAAUCAGAUGGGGUCUUGCUACAUUGCCUAAGCUGGUCUUGAACUCCUGGACUCAAGCAAUCCUCCUGUCUUGACCUCCCAAACUGUUAGGAUUACAGGCGUGAGCCACUGUGGGUGAUGCUGUACUUAAUUUUGUCACACUUGGAGAUCAUCCC